rnacentral:lncRNA from 1 species
GGGACUGGUGCAGUUACUACCCCAAGAGGUAUACCUCGUACACAGGCAGGGAGCCCAGUGUGAAGCGGCCACACAAGGACUCCUCCCCGGCCAGGAAGGUCUGGGAGCCUCCACCCAGGUGAGGGAGCAGACUUACUUCCACAGCCCUUGCACAGAUGCCGCACCCCCUUUCCCUCUGCACCCCGAGGGCCACUCCCAGAAAAAAGCUGCCUUUGGAGCUGAUGACAGUGGCUGUGGUCUGUCUGAUCGGUUUUAUGAACACAAAAGCAUGAAGUCACACAAACGUAGAUAUGAGAGUGCAAAAAGUAAUGACAGUCAUGAGGAAAAGAAAGCCCACAGGAGCCUGCCCGAGACCUGGAGGAGCCUAAGGCGAAAAAGCACAAAAGGUCAAAGAAGAAGAAGAAAUCUAAAGACCAACGCCAGGAGCGUGACCACAGGCAUCAGCUGGAUCCAGAUGUUCUAGAAGUAUACUCUAAAGCUGACCUCUACAGACACAAAAAGAAGAAAAAGAAAAAGAAAAGGCACCCGAGGAACUCAGAAAACUCUGAAAAGCAGAACUGCACUCACUGAAGGCCUUAAGCUUUGGGACUGUUAACUAUUUCCAGAGACGCGAGGACAACUACCUGCUCACUGAUG